GCACUGCUGAGGAGUCCAAGAAUAGGACGGAACGACCGUCCAGUGC
rfam:Schistosoma haematobium scaffold1437_2, whole genome shotgun sequence.